GAUCCUGCCAGAGGUCACUGCUAUCGGGGUUCGAUUAAGCCAUGCGAGUCGAGAGGGUUCAGACCCUCGGCGGACUGCUCAGUAACACGUGGAUAAUCUGCCCUAUGGUGGAGGAUAACCCCGGGAAACUGGGGAUAAUACUCCAUAAGUCAGGAGUACUGGAAUGUCUCCUAACUGAAAGUUGCGGCGCCAUAGGAUGAAUCUGCGGCCGAUUAGGUAGUUGUUGGGAUAACGGCCCAACAAGCCCGUAAUCGGUACGGGUUGUGGGAGCAAGAGCCCGGAGAUGGAAUCUGAGACACGAUUCCAGGCCCUACGGGGCGCAGCAGGCGCGAAAACUUUACAAUGCAGGAAACUGUGAUAAGGGAACCCCGAGUGCCCGUAAACGCGGGCUGUCCCGGUGUUUAAAACACAUCGGAAGAAAGGGCCGGGCAAGACCGGUGCCAGCCGCCGCGGUAAUACCGGCGGCUCGAGUGGUGACCACUUUUAUUGGGCUUAAAGCGUUCGUAGCUUGAUUUUUAAGUCUCUUGGGAAAUCUCACGGCUUAACUGUGAGGCGUCUAAGAGGUACUGGGAAUCUAGGGACCGGGAGAGGUAAGAGGUACUU
rnacentral:rRNA from 1 species